CCCUGAUGCAGACCGUCGGUAUACACUUUAGACUGUCCCCCUGGCUGGCAGAAGACCCUGGUUCGUAUCAGAAAUGGUUAGAAAAAUCAAACCAAAUUGUUCUCCACAGAUUUCUAAUUCCAUUUUCAGUGUGAGACCAGGUGACGUGUACAGAGGCCAAAGGCAGUGUGAGACCAGGUGACGUGGACAGAGGCCAAAGGCAGUGUGAGACCAGGUGACGUGGACAGAGGCCAAAGGCAGUGAGAGACCAGGUGACGUGGACAGUACAUCAUAGAGGCCAAAGGCAGUGUGAGACCAGGUGACGUGGACAGAGGCCAAAGGCAGUGAGAGACCAGGUGACGUGGACAGUACAUCAUAGAGGCCAAAGGUAGUGUGAGACCAGGUGACGUGGACAGAGGCCAAAGGCAGUGUGAGACCAGGUGACGUAGACAGAGGCCAAAGGCAGUGAGAGACCAGGUGACAUGGACAGUACAUCAUAAAGGCCAAAGGCAGUGAGAGACCAGGUGACGUGGACAGAGGCCAAAGGUAGUGUGAGACCAGGUGACGUGGACAGAGGCCAAAGGCAGUGAGAGACCAGGUGACGUGGACAGAGGCCAAAGGCAGUGAGAGACCAGGUGACGUGGACAGAGGCCAAAGGCAGUGAGAGACCAGGUGACGUGGACAGAGGCCAAAGGCAGUGUGAGACCAGGUGACGUGGACAGAGGCCAAAGGCAGUGAGAGACCAGGUGACGUGGACAGUACAUCAUAAAGGCCAAAGGCAGUGAGAGACCAGGUGACGUGGACAGAGGCCAAAGGCAGUGUGAGACCAGGUGACGUGGACAGAGGCCAAAGGCAGUGAGAGACCAGGUGACGUGGACAGUACAUCAUAGAGGCCAAAGGUAGUGUGAGACCAGGUGACGUGGACAGAGGCCAAAGGCAGUGUGAGACCAGGUGACGUGGACAGUACAUCAUAGAGGCCAAAGGUAGUGUGAGACCAGGUGACGUGGACAGAGGCCAAAGGCAGUGUGAGACCAGGUGACA